GCACCUUCCUGUGGCCUGUAAUGAGCAGGGCGUUGAGACCAAAACCCAAAUCCCACCUGGCAGCUGAGAGUGCAAAAGUGAUUUCCUGGCCAGGUGACCAGUCUGGAGAGUGAGACAUGGGCCAAAACAGGAACAUGGCACGGAGGAAGGGAACAAACACCAAAGAGGUUUGUGGAAAGGUCCCUGAGGCCACUGAUUUCCCCAGAAUCUGCCAUUUGAUGUCAAGGAGCGCAGCCAGAUGUGUGAAGCACGUUCUUCAUCCACGUCUCGAGU